ACUGAAUAGAUACCCGGGUAGUCCACACUGUAAACGAUGAAUGCUAGGUGUAGGGGGUAUCGACCCCUUCUGUGCCGGAGUAAAGCACAAUAAGCAUUCCGCCUGGGGAGUACGGCCGCAAGGUUGAAACUCAAAGAAAUUGACGGGGGGCCCGGCACAAGCAGCGGAGCAUGUGGUUUAAUUCGAAGCAACGCGAAGAACCUUACCAGGUCUUGACAUCCAGUAAAAUCUGUAGAGAUACAGUGUGCCUUCGGGCGUACUGAGACAGGUGGUGCAUGGUUGUCGUCAGCUCGUGUCGUGAGAUGUUGGGUUAAGUCCCGCAACGAGCGCAACCCUUGUGAUCAGUUACUAACGGGUAAUGCCGAGGACUCUGAUAAGACUGCCGGGGACAACUCGGAGGAAGGUGGGGACGACGUCAAAUCAUCAUGCCCCUUAUGACCUGGGCUACACACGUGCUACAAUGGCCACUACAGAGAGAAGCGAAUUCGAGAGGAAGAGCGGAUCU
rnacentral:rRNA from 1 species